UCGGGAAUUUUGGGCAAUGGGCGAAAGCCUGACCCAGCAACGCCGCGUGAAGGAUGAAGUAUUUCGGUAUGUAAACUUCGUAAGAAUAGGAAGAAUAAAUGACGGUACUAUUUGUAAGGUCCGGCUAACUACGUGCCAGCAGCCGCGGUAAUACGUAGGGACCAAGCGUUGUUCGGAUUUACUGGGCUUAAAGGGUGCGUAGGCGGUGCGGUAAGUGCGGUGUGAAAUCCCACGGCUCAACCGUGGAAUUGCGCUGCAUACUGCCGUGCUAGAGGGAGACAGGGGUAAGCGGAACUGAUGGUGGAGCGGUGAAAUGCGUUGAUAUCAUCAGGAACACCGGUGGCGAAAGCGGCUUACUGGGUCUCUUCUGACGCUGAGGCACGAAAGCUAGGGUAGCGAACGGGAUUAGAUACCCUGGUAGUCCCUGAGCGGGCUGGCAAGGCGCAU
rnacentral:rRNA from 1 species